UUUGUCCAUAUGAUAGGUUACUCAACACACUGGCUUGUGUAAUUGCUUUGAAAUCAUGGACGACUCAUGAGGACAAGAUUGCUGAAGGAUACCGAAAGAUUUGAUGCAUGCACUUCCAACUUCCCUACUUUAUAGCUUGGAAGGAUUUUCAGAUUUAAACUGGGACAAGGUGCUGAAGCUAAAAUGUCAUAACGGGUCAUUCUUGACAUCUCCAGCCUCCACUGCUUUUGCAUUCAUAGAGACCAAAGAUGAGCAGUGUCUCAAUUUUAUUACGGAAGUCACUCAAAAUUUCAAUGGAGGAGCACCGCCAUGUUAUCCAGUAGACCUAUAUGCCCGACUAUUUGCAGUGGAUCGGCUGAAACGACUAGGAAUUUCUCGUUAUUUCAUGUCAG